UUAACAAAAACAUGUCCUUUUGAUUGGUAUUUAAGGUCUGAUCUGCCCUAUGAUUAAUAAUUUAAAUGGCCGCGAUAUUUUGAUCGUGCGAAGGUAGCAUAAUCAUUAGUUUUUUAAUUGAAAGCUGGUAUGAAUGAUUGGACAAGAAGCUUUCUGUCUCAAAUUUAUUUUUUGAAUUUUAUUUUUUAGUUAAAAAGCUCAAAUUAGCUUGUAAGACGAGAAGACCCUAUAGAGUUUAAUAUUUUUAUUUACAUUUAAAUUUUAGGAUUAAUAAUUUUUUUGUUUUAUAAAGUAUUUGGUUGGGGUGACAGGAAAAUUUAUUAAACUUUUUUUAUAUAAAAUAUAGAUUUAUAGGUUGUUGACUUAUAUGAAUAGUUAAAAGAAUAAAUUACCUUAGGGAUAACAGCGUAAUUUUUCUAAAGAGUUCAUAUCGAAAGAAAAGAUUGCGACCUCGAUGUUGGAUUAAAGUUAAAACUUGGUGUAGAAGCUAGGAUGAUUUAGUCUGUUCGACUAUUAAAACUUUACAUGAUCUGAGUU
rnacentral:rRNA from 1 species